GAAGUUUGGCGCGUUUCACGUUGCGACCCACCGUUCUGGAUUCAAGGUUAUUUUGUAUACUUUUUUGAAUUUGGAUUUGAUUAUUUCAUCUAGGCUUUUUUCUACACUUAUAAAAAGUCCUUAAACACAAUUUUUACAGAAUUUUUAAUCAAGAGAGAGCAUGAAACUGCCGUGAAGGUUGGAGUUCGUCGGAUAUUACCUUUUCUUUCAUCAAACUUAGUAAUUUUUAUUAUCUUUGUAUAAUUAUUAUUCCACUAUCAUAUCUAUGUAGAGCUAAACUUUACGUUCCAGGGUUGUGGCUCUUUCAUGACUAUUGUUAUUCGGAUAUUGAUUUUGGUUUCUUGAUUUAU
rnacentral:lncRNA from 1 species